rnacentral:lncRNA from 1 species
UAAUUAAGCCUAAUUAAGUUGGGUUUAAUUUAGUCUAAUUGUGCUUAACCUAUUUUGAUUAGGUUGGUUCAAUUAAGAUCAAACCACCAUUUGAAUUUGAAUCCCUGCACCACCUUAAAUCUCUGUGCCCAUUUGAAUUCACGAGAAGAAACUUCUCAUGAAUUUUUUCUCACGCAAAGCCCUUCUCACACCCACUCUUGUGCGCCAAUAUUUGGAUAAAGAUGAUUAGUUAUCCAUUCAAAUUCAAAGCGUGUUUGAAUUUGAAUGGAUAACUUAUCUCUUGCGCAUACAUGACAUUAUCCACUUUAGCGCCCCACAUCUCACACGAGAAAGAGUUUCUCGUGAAACCUUUCCAUGCACAAAGCAGACUCGCACCUUCUCUUCUCAUGCCCAAGUGGAUAGGGAUGAGUUGGUUUUAGUUUGAAUUCAAAUUUGAUUUGAAUUCAAAUGUGUAACCACUUGUCUUUAUCCUCUCACGUGGAUAAGACACGUUUUGAACUGUUUUAAAAGAGAUAGGGAGCUGG